rnacentral:tRNA from 1 species
GAGGGUAUAGCUCAAAUGGUAGAGCACAUGCUUAGCAUGCAUGAGGUCCCGGGUUCAAUGCCCAGUACCUCCU